AAGUCGUAACAAGGUUUCCGUAGGUGAACCUGCGGAAGGAUCAUUACCGAAUUCCAAGGAGCAGAGGAGAAGAAGGGGAGGGAUCCUCUAGUAUUUCAGAGUGCUGUUGCUGGCCUUUUGGCAUGUGCACGUCUCCGGAGUCCGACGGUGUCCCUUUGUUCUCUGAAGCUCCAUACCUCUCAAACCACCUCUGUGCACCUGUUGUAGGUCUCGUUGCUGGGACCUAUGUAUUCUUUUAGCUCGCAUGUAUACAGAAUGUUGUCUAGUUGUGUUGUCCGGCCCAGUGUCGGCGACCGCAUUAUAAUAUAACUUUCAGCAACGGAUCUCUUGGCUCUC
rnacentral:misc_RNA from 1 species